AUCCAGCUGACGAGUCCCCAAUAGGACGAAGUGGGAGCGCGUCAUGGAU
rnacentral:hammerhead_ribozyme from 1 species